rnacentral:lncRNA from 1 species
GGCACUUCUGGAAAACCCGCUGUCGGCUCGCUGCCUUGGUCCGACUUUGAUCGCGGCCUUGAUAACUUGGCGCAGCGCCCUGUCUCCUUUCCUCCGGUCCCUCUCCCGCCCACCCGGCCUCACCGGCCGCUUCGCCUGCAGCGCUGGAGUCGACCAGAACUCCGCGGCUCGGCUGCCAGCAAGACCCGGAGAGCGGAUCCCGCUCCUGGCUGCGCGGCGCGCACUCGCCUGCCCGCCCGCUCCCCCGUUCCUCGCGCGGGCACUGGGCAUGCGCGGCGCGCGGUUGGCACUGGCCGCGAGCGGGCGGGCGGCUCCAGACUUCACAGGCAGCAGCUAGCGAGGCGGUCUCGCCCGGCGCGAGGCAGGCGCUGUGCUCGCCUCGGAGAUCGCUGCUCUUCAGCUGGGCGCAGGAGGCGGCUCCGCGGCUCGCGGACGACUGGCUGGGCGCGAAUCAGAUUGGGGGGCUUUCUCCCGGUCCCCUCCCACCUCGUCUGGGCUCGCGGCGUCUCCGGGGAAAGCCGUGGCCCCGAGGGCGGAUCCGAGGCGGAGUCUCGCUCUGUUGCCAGGCUGGAGUGCAGUGGAACGAUCUCGACUCACUGCAACCUCUGGCUCCUGGGUUCAAGCGAUUCUCCUGCCUCAGCCUCCUGAGCAACUGGGAUUACAGGCACGUGCCACCAUGACCAGCUAAUUUUUGUCUUUUUUAGUAGAGAUGAGGUUUCACCAUGUUGGCCAGGAUGGUCUCGAUCUCCUGACCUCGUGAUCUGUCCCAAAGUGCUGGGAUUCCAGGUGUGAGCCACUGUGCCCAGCCCAUCUCUUCAUCUUAAAUGAAUACCUUACCUCUUUAUUAUUAAUAUGCAAUCGGAAGGAAAGUUUAAUUUUGGGUAAAAUCAGCUUCCAGCAAGUUUCUUGUCAAGAGCAUUUCACUCUACACCAUUGUUUUGAGGGUAUUUAAAAUGGAAACAAUUUUAGAAAUCAUUUUAUUCAGUGUCUUCAUUUUGUAACCUGAUUUAAUAAAUAUUAUUAGGUUUCUAUUACAGUUACUAGGGACAUAAAAUGUAUGAAAUAUGAUCAUUCUCCACUUGGAGCUUAUGGAUGAAAACUAACAUGAAUGGCAUUCAAAGGGGGUAGAUUGAGUAAUACUUAAUUUGUAUUUCAAGAUGAUUCAACUAAAAGGUUUUUAUUUUCCAAAAGACUAAAAUGAUGUUAUUAUGAUGACUGUAGACUUUAGUCUCCCAAGGCUGGUCAAUGCUCUUUCUGAAUUAUUUUUUUGUCAUACAGAAUUAAAAGAAAACACAUUUUAAGUGUACUCUUAUGUUACAAGUUCUAUUAGUCCUGUAGUUUAGGGGUUUGAAUGUAUCUUUUUCUGAAGAUAGAAGUGUAUGUAUUUUAAAAUAUAGAUCUGUCAUGUUCCAAAUUUCUUCCUAUGUAAAUAAGAAAUAGUGAGCUAAAUGAAUGUCUAGGAAGUGAAGGCUGUCAGGAUACUGUUGUAUGAUUUUUGAAAAAAUAUAAGGUACAAUGUAUUAAGGAACUAUGCUAGUAUCUAACAUAGUGUCCUAAAUAGUUGUUGAUCGGGUUAAUACUAUAUAGAUGAACCAUGCUUUUUAAUACUGGUUGCAUGCUUAUGAAAAAAAGUGGAUCAAAGGUAACUAUAUGGAGCCUUUAAAGUUUUUCCACCAAUAUGAAACCAUAGUUUUCUUACUGUGUUUGUUUAUUCAGUUCUGGUAUAUAAGAAUAAAGAAAUACAUUUUUCAUUUGUUUUUGGCUUGAUAGUGGCACAUUUACUUAUAUUUUUCUGUCCCAAAUUAUAUUUGAAUUUCUUGAUAGAACAUACAAUUUAAGACAAAGAAGAAAUAUUUCCAUUUAUUUCAUUGUUCUCUUUCUGGUAAAACCCUGUUGGCUAGACUACUUUGCUAAUGUGGUCAAACUCAAGAUAUUUAAUUUUGUAGGCUCUACAGUUUCACCUGUUACUUGCUCCCAGACUGAAUAUCUAGCAACAUUUUUUCCUAAGUAACUGGCUACAGGAAAAACUUCAUAAAUGAUUGGAUAAAUCAAUCAACAAUUUAGUAAAUUAAGUCAGACUAUAACUGUUGCCAAGUAAAAUGGUGUUAUAUCUUUAUACAGAGGGAAGAUGUGAUUAGAGCUGCUUCAGAAUUGUAGGAAGAUAUAAGAGUAAUCCUAUCUAGCUGGGGAAGGAGCAAUCAAAAUACAAAUCAGUUCUGGAAAGUGUACAGUUCUGAGAGGCAUGUGGUGAUAGGCAGCUCUGUAUGUUUAACUCUGGGAGGGUGAGAUAAAGGUGAAAGAAUAUAGAAUUAUUUAAGAAAUGGAGCAAAACUACAUGGUAAAGAGUUAAUGUAGGGGCAGGAAGGAAUCACUGGGGGAAGACUUUUGAACAGUGGCAGACAGGAAGGGAGGAGGGUAGAGAGAAAGCUGAAUUUUGGAGUGGAGGUGUGGGUUUGGGUACUUAGGAUAGAGUGACCAGUUUAAGGAUUUGCUCAGGAGGGAACCCAUAGAAAGAGACCACUGCUUCAGGUGGUUCCAAGAUGAUUUAUUCCUUCCUUCCUUCCUUCCUUCCUUCCUUCUUCCUUCCUUCCUUCCUUCCUUCCUUCCUUCCUUCCUUCCUUCCCUUCCUUCCUUCCUUCCUUCCUCCCUUCCUUCCUUCCUCCUUCCUUUCCCCUUCUUCUUCUUUCUCCCUCCUUCCUUCCUUCUU